rnacentral:rRNA from 1 species
ACAAGCGGUGGAGUAAUGUGGUUUAAUUCGACGCAACGCGAAGAACCUUACCAGGUCUUGACAUCCCUUGCAAAGCUAUGGAGACAUAGUGGAGGUUAUCAAGGAGACAGGUGGUGCAUGGUUGUCGUCAGCUCGUGUCGUGAGAUGUUGGGUUAAGUCCCGCACGAGCGCAACCCUUAUUGCUAGUUACCAUCAUUAAGUUGGGGACUCUAGCGAGACUGCCAGUGAUAAACUGGAGGAAGUGGGGAUGACGUCAAAUCAUCAUGCCCCUUAUGACCUGGGCUACAAACGUGAUACAAUGGCUGAAACAAAGGGCAGCGAAGCAGUGAUGUGGAGCGAAACCCAAAAAAGCAGUCUCAGUUCGGAUUGAAGUCUGCAACUCGACUUCAUGAAGUUGGAAUCGCUAGUAAUCGUAGAUCAGAACGCUACGGUGAAUACGUUCUCGGGUUU